ensembl:lncRNA
UUCCUUGGUAAAAUCCAGACAAAAAGAAAGAAAAAAAAAAAAGAAAACAACAACAACAAAAGCCAAACAUUUCCAGGAGCAGGAAGGAACAGUUUCAGCACUGGGGCAUCUCUCCAAGCACAGGAGAUGACUUCUCUCCCAUCAACCCUGUACCCUUCCUGCCUUUCCUGGAGGGUAGAUAUGAACAGUUCUUUUGGGGGGUUUUAGUUGUUUGGGUUUUUUUUUUGUCCUUCCAUACAACAUUUAAAUGUUUCUUGAACACCUCCAGGGUUGGUGACUCCACCACCCAACUGGGCAGCCUGUGCCAACACCUAACCACACUCUCGGAGAAGUAUUUCCUAAUAUCCACCCUGAACCUCCCCUGGCACAACUUGAGGACAUUCCCUCUCAUCCCAUCACUGUUACUUGGGAGAAGAGGCCGACUCCCAUCUCACCACAAGCUCCCUUCAGGUAGUUAUAGAGAGCGAUAAAAUUACCACUGAACCUCCUCUUCUCCAGUCUGAACAAUUCCAGCUCCCUCAGCUGCUCCUCGUAUUUCUGUUUUCAGAGAUAUGUGUGAAGGGCUCCCCUGGUUUUUAUGCUGCCAUAGUUUAUUUGUGGUCUCUGCUUUCAGUCCCUAACAACUGAGACCUGGAGGUGUUUCAGGUGUGUAACUUUGACCACCGGGAGCAAAGCAUCCCAGCACCUUUAGGGAUCAGAGCCAGUGUGUGUGAUACACCAGCUGCAAAAAAAAAAAAAAAAAAAAAAAAAGAAAAAAGAAAAACAUGGAAGAAGGGAAAAAAAAAAAAAAAAAAAAAAAAAAAAAAAAAAAAAAAAAAAAAAAAAAAAAAAAAAAAAAAAGGAUGUCCUUACAGAAAGAUUAGAUCUGAAGGCCAUAAUUAAUCGCGUGUCGCUGCUACUGCUAUGACAGCAUAGCAAUGAUCGCCCAUGCUGGCUUUCAGCUACCCAGCAUGAGCCUGAAGGAAGGAUCCUCAGCACCAUCUCAUUACCCCAGCCUUCAGCCUAUUGCUCAAGAGAGUUGCUCUUGUGGGUAGACUGUUAUAAAUACCCCAAGUACUCAGUCAUGGAAAUGCAGACUGUCCCUCAGUCCAAAUAAAACCAGUUUAAUCAAGUCUGAAUGUGACCUGUCCCAUCCGAAGGAAGAGAGAG